UCUAAGCUCUGCCCCUCUGAGGAAU
rnacentral:piRNA from 1 species